UACGGAGGAUGCGAGUGUUAUCCGGAUUUAUUGGGUUUAAAGGGUGCGUAGGCGGAUUUUUAAGUCAGCGGUAAAAUGUCCGGGCUCAACCCGGGCCGGCCGUUGAAACUGGGGAUCUUGAGUGGGCGAGAAGUAUGCGGAAUGCGUGGUGUAGCGGUGAAAUGCAUAGAUAUCACGCAGAACUCCGAUUGCGAAGGCAGCAUACCGGCGCCCGACUGACGCUGAGGCACGAAAGCGUGGGGAUCGAACAGG
rnacentral:rRNA from 1 species